rnacentral:pre_miRNA from 1 species
AAUAAAUAGAGCUAUAGUUUUCCGCGUCCAACUUUAACCGUUCGUCUUAUUUAUAAUUUUUUUAAAAAAAAUUAAAAACAUAAGUCACGAGUAAAGUACUAUUCAUAUUUUAUUAUCUCAUAACAACAAAAAAUACUAAUUAUAAAAAAAUUUCAAAUAAGACGGACGAUCAAAGUUGGGCGCGGAAACUUAUGACUGUGCUUAUU